AAUCUACCUCUAAGCGGGGGACACCUCCUGGAAACGGGGAUUAAUACCGCAUAAUAUGCCGAAGUCGCAUGACUUGGUAUUAAAGCAGCAAUACACUUAGAGAUGAGUGUGCGUCCCAUUAGGGUAGUUGGUGAGGUAACGGCUCACCAAGCCUAUGAUGGGUAGCCCGGUCUGAGAGGAUGGUCGGCCACACGGGCACUGAGACACGGGCCCGACCCCUACGGGAGGCAGCAGUAAGGAAUAUUGGUCAAUGGUGGAAACACUGAACCAGCCAUGCCGCGUGGAGGAAUAAGGUCCUACGGAUUGUAAACUCCUUUUGACGAGGAAGAAAAUGUUAGAUUUAUCUAAUUUUGACGGUACUCGUAGAAUAAGCACCGGCUAACUCCGUG
rnacentral:rRNA from 1 species